rnacentral:lncRNA from 1 species
GAUCCACCAGCAAGGAGGGACACCAAUAAGAUAAGUCUUAUAAAAUAUAUGGGUUUAUGAUAGUUAAUAUUGAGCUAACAGAUGAGAAUCCUAGUCAUUGGCCAAGCAGCAUUGUACCUAAUACAAGUUUCUGUGUAAUCAUUUGGGCCAUAACUCAGGCUGGCGGCUGGCGUAAAGCUCACACGUGGCAGUGGGACUCAGGCGGCUUUUGGUGGAAAGGUUUAUCGUAAUAAGGGGAGAACAGCACAUUCAAUACCACUCUAAAGUUUAUGAACCAAAUAAUGAGAAGCAGCACAAGAUAAAUUGUCAGGUGGUACCUUACUGUCCUGAAACCUAAGGAUCUUGCAUUUUCAGGUUUAUGACAGUAUGAGUGGUAUUUUUCAGUAUCUGCUGUUCUGGCCUUCAACAGGACACAUUUGUGCUGGUCUCGCUCCUGCAGCUUACUGCACCGAUGUGAGCAUUUCUCCUGCUUGUUCUCCUCUCCCAGCAGCCUGGGAGACCCACAGUUUAAGCCCUAGCCUGCUGUAUUUUCCACGUGGCUCUGGCUCUUUUGGCCUGCAGACCUACAUUCCAAAGCCUCCAAGGUUUUACUUCCUCACUCCUAAAAAUUCUUUUAUUCCUAUGGUUUCUUACAUGCUGUGUUCUACUGUGAGCUCUUAUUUUAGGAUUUAUAGUUGCUAAUCGGACAUUGUUUAAAAAGCUACAUAAUUUGUAUUAAUAAAGUAUGUUUCCCGUUGAAAGUUUUGUCUUGCUGUUAGAAAAGUCCUGUUUAUUUUAUAUGUAUGGAUAUAUUUGUGCCUGUAUGUUUUCUUGUGGACAUGGGAACCAAACAAAAUUACUUCAGGCUUCUUGGGUGUAUGAAUGUAUAUAGACACUGCAUUCUUGUUUCUAACUGGUCUUGGAUGCCUGAGAUUAUGUGUUCUGUGUGUUUUGGUAAUAGCUCAGCUGUUACUAUUCCAACUAGCUGCUGGGCUAAGAAUUUGCUUCUGGGGUUUCUGGCCAUUGAAUCUGAUGCAAUGGCAGAGAUUCAUAUGUCAUUUUGUAUAAAUAACAUUAUAUUUAUUUUAUGCUGUUCUACCUUAUAAAAAACGGCUAAAGAUUGGACAUAGUUAAAAUUUGUAACAAAAAGUUAACUUAAAACUUGUGACUAAAAUUGGAACUGCUCUGAGAAACAACACUUGGUUUGUGACCACCUUAAUCAAGUACAGGCACUGGGGCAGCCACCAUUUUGACUAAGGUUGGAGACAAGGGAGGUCAGGUAACUGUAUCACCUUCUUGGUUAAAGGUGAACAUGUGGAGUAGGCCCACCAAGGAGAUAACAGAUUUCCAAGAUAUUUUGGAUUAGGAUGGAUUUCUGUCUGAUAAUUCCUGUCUUGUCCCAAAAACAAGGUUUAUGAAAGGCAAAAUUUAAAAUAAUGCUGGUUUAAAGAGGUAAUAAAACUGCACCUCCAUGCAUUCAUGUACAGGGACAUACCUUGCUGGCAGCCAAAUUUUGUAAUGUAAGAGUAAUCUCCUUGGUAUUGAUUUUAGAGA